CAGUAGCCGCGGUAAAACGGAGGGGGCUAGCGUUGUUCGGAAUGACUGGGCGUAAAGGGCGCGUAGGCGGCUUGACAAGUCUUGUGUGAAAUCUAUGGGCUCAACCCAUAGUCUGCACGGGAAACUGUCGGGCUUGAGAAUGGGAGAGGUGAGUGGAAUUUCCGGUGUAGCGGUGAAAUGCGUAGAUAUCGGAAGGAACACCUGUGGCGAAAGCGGCUCACUGGACCAUUUCUGACGCUGAUGCACGAAAGCUAGGGGAGCAUACAGGAUUAGAUACCCCCGUAGUCCCUGUCUCUUAUAC
rnacentral:rRNA from 1 species